UACUAAGACAGAAGAGUCAUGUUAGUGCUUUCAAACUUUCUAGAGAUAAAUGAAACCAAACCUCGUGUUAGUGCAGUGAUGGAGUGCGGAGCUCUGCUGGGCUGGGUGCUGGUCCUAGCUCUGCAGCCUGGCAGUGCACAAACAAACUUUGCAGCCGUGUGAUCCCUUUUGCUUUCGAUCAUGCUUCCCAGAUGAAGGUCUUGGCUGCGAAGCGGGCCGUUUGUCCGGCACCGCUGUAUUGAUCCCUGCCCCGCAGUUACGCGUGAGGAAUUUCUUUGCUUUUGAGAAUUGACUGAACUGAACCGGGCCACAUUUGUGAAUCCCCUUCUGCCAGAGAGCAAGUGCCUGAAGUGCUUUUUGUCUUCACUUCUGUCGAUUCGUAAGGAAAGGUCAUCAUUAUUUAAGGUCUGUUGAUGCUUAUGAAGCUCUUGAGAGAGCCUGCUGGGUGUCAGCCUGGAGCGGGCAGCGCUCAGAUAUCCAGGCUGUUUCCUGUGUUUGUAGGAUGGGGAGUGCACGAACCCACCAAGAGGGAGCACCCUGCCGGCGGAGCUGCCAUGGGGUGCGCCAGCCUUUGGCUUGGACAUACUUAGCCUCAAUGAGUCCCAAACAUGAGCAAAGACUCGUGUUAGAGCUCAAACAUUUAGACCUGGUCAACUUGCUCCUCUUUUCCUAUACUUUUUAAUUAUUGUGGAGCUGUAUCUGUUGGCUUACCUGGUGACUUCUGGUGGAACACGUGUUAUUCCUGUGUUUUUCUCAUAUUCAUUUGAAAGUGAGAGGUGAAAACAACAUGAGAGAGUUCAUUUUCACAGUAUCUUUUGCUUUUGAGGUCAUCCAGUUAGAGUGCCAGCGUUGCUCCCUGCCCAGCGGAGGUUGGCUGCAUGGCUCAACGCGCCUCGUCUCCUAUGUCCCGUACUGAGCCCUGCCGUGUGCGGGCAUCAGGCAGGUGCUGCCCAGCUCCCAGGUGGGCAUCAAACCAUAAGCAGCGUCAAAGAUGGGCCUUAUUAAAAUAAGGGUUCUUCUGUAAAUCGUAUGGUAAUAAGAGUGGAAACUUUCAGCAGGUAAGUAGCUGAAUUUCCGCAGAACCUGGAGCUGGCGAGCAGUUCUGUGCCGGCUCCCAGACCGUGCCUUCCCAUCAGCUCCUCCCUUGCAAAGAUGCCGAGUGGUAAGUAGCUUCAAUUUUUAUUUCAUUUCUGAAGUGCGCUUUCCAGAUUUUAUUGGAAAAUAACAAAUUUGCCCCUUCCUUUCAUUACCAGAUAAGCAGUCUGAGUAACUCAGCUGGGCCUCUUUUGCAGUAAUGAAACAUCCCAUUUUUGUGUUUUUUCUUCCUAUUUCAAUAUUGUUGUCUUUGUUUUUUGAGGCAGUAACUUUUAUAGAACAACAAACAGAACCAUAGUGACACAUUAAAAUGGAAACAGGUGAACGCUAUGAUCUGUGAAGCAGAAAUAAGCUGUUUUUAUCUUUUAGCAUAAAAACAAAUGUUUCAGGCAAUUGGUCACUAACCUGAGUUUUAGUCUUACUUUAAGCUUUGCGAGAACAUGUAGAAUUCAUUCAUCUGAUCAAAAUGGUUAUAAUGGCUAUCUCUGUGCUUUGUUGGAAUUGGUUAGCUGGAUCCAGACAGAGAAAAGCAAGAGAUUUUUUUUUUUCUGUGAAGGCAUGUACGUGGAAGUGAAAUCUCAGUAUUUCAAACCAGUGAAUAAUGCUAAAGAACUUAAUGAUAGCAGAAAAAAUGAGGAGUAUUGUCAUCUCUCUUGUGAAGCCAAACAAAUAACCUGUGUGUCACCCCGUUCAGUUCCCAAAUGAGCAAUAUCCCUUCAUCUAUAAUCAGCCUUUAAAAAUCAUUCCCAGCUAAUUUCAUGCUAUGACCCUGUUGUGAACUACUUGUGAGUGAGGCCCAGGAAUGGCUAGCGGCUCUGCCUUUUCUGCCAGUGACAUCUACGUGGAAGACUUGCCCAGAGCCAACCGUGGAGCCACAGACGGCUGCGUGCAGCCACCCCUGGGGACGUGCACAUCUGCAGCUGUGCCUCAAGUGGAGGGAGCAGCACGUGGAAAAGUCUACGGGCAGCGCUGGCACAAUUUGUCUGAACAGGAGUGUGCGGAGCCUGCACAGGCAAGCCUGAAUUUGUGCAGAAGACGCAGCAUACACCAGAGGUGUUAGAUGGGUUUAUCCCAAAGCUGUGAAGAUCCUCUCCUUAAUUACGGAGCAGUGAAGGCUGGAGCAAUGAAGAUGUGCUUCUGCCCUUGGAAGGUGUUUCACGGGAGGACAGCUCCUGCGGAACAGCUCUUUCAUGUGGCAGGCUGAGCCAGAUGGAUUAGCAGCAUGGGAUAUUCAUCACUGGGAUGAAAUACCAAGCCCAACCUAUGGAUUUCUCUGUUUUCUAAGCAGGGCUGUAUGCUCUUCUAGAACACAUACAUGUGGCCCAGCUUCAAGUUAGCGGGUUAAACAGAGACAGGUGACGUUCUGCAGCUGGUGCUGCACAAAGGCCAGGAAGUUGUAUUGACCAUGCAAUGAUCUACCCUUGGAAAUCUGGCACACAUUACUUUUUCAGGGUAAAUAGACUGGUCUCUCUUCAUGUUUUGGCUCCAGCCUGGAUAGCCUGCCUUCGAGAGACUCAGCGCUCCCUCACUGAGAAAAAGCCUAAAACCACUACCUGGUGAAGAUUGCCAUAACAGUAGUGUUACAACUGUUUUGACAGUGAUUGCAGGGAGAUGAUGAUAUUUGAGAACAUGAGUCAAAUUUCCUAACACUGUGAAUAUAUUUUUCCAUGAAAUUUUAUCUGGCUUGAUAAUGGGUGAUUAUUUUCUUAGCAGGUAUCUUUGCUUCAGGAAGAAAUUGGUUUUGUAAAACUCAUCUACUGAAUAUAUCUCAUUCCCAAAGCAUAGCAGUAUGAGUGCUUUGAAGCAAAGGUAGAAAAUAACUCCGUGAGCAGAUCUGGACAUGCACUUAGAGAGGUCUGAGGGAAAAAAAAGCCGGCUUAGGUGUACUGCUGGAUGAAUCCAUUUCUGUCUCAUGUAAUUAUUUUGGUGUAAUUGUAUUAAACAAACUUGGAAAAAUAUACUGCUGGCCCUGUAGAAAGUGGCUGCUAGGAGGUGGAUUUGUGACUUGCUCCCCUCCUGUCCCGGCCCAGCCUCAAGCAGCAGCGGGUGCAUGGCGUGGGGCUCCUGCUGGGCUCCACCUGUAACCCUGUGCAGUUACCUUGGGUUUUUGUGCAGCCCACCAAACCAUGCCUGGUCGUUUUCUUUUGUCAUCAGCUCAGAGGAAAGCGUUUAGCAUUUUAAUAUCUCAUUAAAUUCUUAAACCCUAACAAAAUGAAUGCCAGCGAACACUGGAAGUAAUGAAACUGCCAGAAGAGAUGUGGAGUUAUUUAAAAAAGCAGCAGUAAUAGAUUAGAUUUAGCUGUCCUUCCAUAAAAUAAAAAGCAAUGAAUCACAGCAACAGAAGGCAGCGAGGGAGUGAGCGCAAGGCCCCGUGUCCUGCCCCACGUCCCCAUGCUGCUGAUGGCUGCCUGUGCUGCUGGCUUUUGCCAUGGGGACUGGGAGGUGUCUGGUCCCUGUGGACAAGUCGCUUUAUUUCAACAGCAAAAGAAAAGAAAGUAUUAACAGCAUGGAAACCACUUAAAUACUUCAGGUAAUUACUAAAUAUUCUAGUGCUUUCAAAUAAGUUAAAUUAAAUGUGUGCUUAGUAUGUACCAAAAGAAAAGCAAGUGCCAGGCAUUGCACAAGUUAUGAAUAAAACAUUUUUGUUACAGUACCAGGUAAUUUAGUUAGCAUAGGUAGCAAGUGCUUUGGGCCGAACAAACAUUUUGGUUCUUCACAGAACCCAAAGCAGGGGAAGGAGGGGCUGCUGGGGUAGGGACUGCCUUUUGGUUUUGGAGCCCACACAGCCUUUCUGCCUCCUUACAGGCUUUGUAAGCAGACCUGCAGCCCCUGGAUGCCCACCAGGCACGCAGGACAUGGCCCCAGUGCUCAGCACAUCAGCACCCAGCAGCGGUGGAUCGGCGCUGCAGAGCCCUGGGGGCUGCGGCGUGAGAAAUGGACGGGAGUGGGAGACGAGCCCGUGGUUUUCAAACAACCUCUUUCAAAGUGGUUCAACAGAAGAUGAGCUCUGUGCAGAAGAUCUAUUGUGAUCAAAGAGGCAGACUUCACAGCAGUGCUGGCAAUAGAGUACAGGGUGACCUGGUACCGCGUGGUGACAAGCAGCUGGUGGCCCUGCAGGGCUGGCUGUCCCCAUGCCUGCCCCAGCCCCCUGCCUGCCGGGGGUGACUGGAGCUGUGGCCUGCAGCUGACAGAGGGCAGCUGCUGCUGGGGGACUCGGGCUUUAUCUCUGUGCCAGGCGAUCCCAGCUGGGUGCCGAGCCAGCGCUGGUCGGUUGAGACCCUUUGCUGGCUCUGACUGUCCACCCAGCGGGGCUGCCAGGCGGCCCACCACCUCCUGUGCAGAAGCUCCCCGCUGCGUGGGGGCGCACAGCCCCGGGAGGGGGAGCGGGAUGGGCUCCGUGCCGUGCACCUGAACCUGAUGAAGCAGGACAGUCAGAGCACCUUGCAAAAGGAAAUGUGGUCACUGAAAUAGCGUUUGAUGGACGUCUGGGGGAAUCAGAGGCUUAUGUAGACUUCUUGCUGCUCUGCAGUGCAGGGAGCAGAGGUGGCAGCGGAUGCCUGCACUCCACAGCCAAUUCUCAGCUGCUUUGAGUGAUGUUUCUGGACCUGAGCAAAAGCAGUAUGCCUGCAGCACUUGUGAUUGAAACCGUGACAUCUUCAGAAAUUGCAUUUCCAGGCGUAUUCCUGAGAGGAGCCGAGGGCAGGAGGCCAGCGGUCGGUCCUGCUGGCGCACAGCCUGAGGGCAGCCAGCUGAGACCUUCUUUUUCUUCUGCAAUACCUGCCUGUCAGACCUGAAGUUCCCCUUUGCCGGUCAUGGUCGUGAGGAGUAGUGUGGCAGGGCUGACCUCAUCCCCUGAACUCCAGAGGAAAGCAAGGAAACUGAUUACUAAUGCAUGGCAGUGGGACAGCUUCAGAAGAAUGGCUUUGUCUCCUGCAAGGAACCAUUAAGGCUGCAGGAAGGACCCUGGCUGAUGUUACUGGAGCUUGGGUAAGGCUCUGGAUUGCUAAAUCAUCGCACAAUGUCUGAAUUCUCAUCUGAUAGCAGCUGCAGAAACAACCCCACCAAGUCCCCCAACCCACAGCUGUUUCAGUGUUAGACUAUGAGUACAAGACAUGCUCUGUCUAAUGCAGUGUCCAGCUCUGCUGCCCACUGAAAUGACUAGCAAUGUUCCUGUUCGCUUCAAAGGUAUAGAGUGAGGCUUUUUGAUCCCCACUUUGGGGUUUUAUUUCAAUUUUCAGAACGCAGAGUCCACUUUAGCUAUUUCUUCUAAUACAAAGAAAAUUGAUGAAUCUUUGUUUUGAAUUUAUUUUUUUCUACUUUAAAGGGAUUUUUUUAGUAAUUUAGCUUUAAAAUGUGCUGUUUGUUUUGAAUAACUUUUUGU